UACAGAGGUCCCAAGCGUUGUUCGGAUUCAUUGGGCGUAAAGGGUGCGUAGGCGGCGCGGUAAGUCGGGUGUGAAAUCUCGGGGCUUAACUCCGAACUGCAUUCGAUACUGCCGUGCUUGAGGACUGGAGAGGAGACUGGAAUUACGGUGUAGCGGUGAAAUGCGUAGAUAUCGUAAGGAAGACCAGUGGCGAAGGCGGGUCUCUGGACAGUUCCUGACGCUGAGGCACGAAGGCCAGGGGAGCAAACGGG
rnacentral:rRNA from 1 species